AUUGAACGCUGGCGGCAGGCCUAACACAUGCAAGUCGAACGGUAACAGGAAGAAGCUUGCUUCUUUGCUGACGAGUGGCGGACGGGUGAGUAAUGUCUGGGAAACUGCCUGAUGGAGGGGGAUAACUACUGGAAACGGUAGCUAAUACCGCAUAGCGUCGCAAGACCAAAGAGGGGGACCUUCGGGCCUCUUGCCAUCGGAUGUGCCCAGAUGGGAUUAGCUAGUAGGUGGGGUAACGGCUCACCUAGGCGACGAUCCCUAGCUGGUCUGAGAGGAUGACCAGCCACACUGGAACUGAGACACGGUCCAGACUCCUACGGGAGGCAGCAGUGGGGAAUAUUGCACAAAGGGCGCAAGCCUGAUGCAGCCAUGCCGCGUGUAUGAAGAAGGCCUUCGGGUUGUAAAGUACUUUCAGCGGGGAGGAAGGGAGUAAAGUUAAUACCUUUGCUCAUUGACGUUACCCGCAGAAGAAGCACCGGCUAACUCCGUG
rnacentral:rRNA from 1 species